AUGGUGUUUGAUGUAGGUAGCUCGUUUUGCGUCUCCUAGUGUUGUUUGCAUUCGAAAUUAACAGUCACUUGUUUAGGUUAGGGCUCUGAAUAAUGUCGUUGCCUUAGAGUUUGCUAAUUGGGAAAAGAUCAAAAUCGCUUAUUUGAUAGAAUUUUUGUAUUCAAAGAAUUGAAUCGUUCACUUUCUUUAAAUUUUCAUAUUUUUUUUUGUAGGCUUCCAAAAGUCUGGGAAGUGAAAGCAUAUUUUACAGAUACAUACUAUGAAUGAAAUACCACAAAACGAAAGAGUCAAGUAAAUAAGCAUAAUUGAUUAGAAUCAAAUAAUAGUAAAUAUAGAUUUAUGACUCUUCUAUUUACUUAUUGCUUUACUAUAAGGAACUAGUACCAUCAGGUGUACUAAAUAGGUAUAAAUUCGCUGUAGAGUAAAUGUUGAAAAUAGUCUAACUAAUUAAUAAUGGAAACAUUAAAUACUGCACAGAGAUCCGAAUGUAUAAAAUAGGGAUGUAGAUACGCAUCUAUUAGCACUGUGUAUCAACUACAUGAUUCAUCAACUGUACUAAAAUCACACACCGUGUACGAGACAUCGUUAAGUUUAACCGU